AGCGACAGCUGUCAAAAUAAAUGGAAAAGCUGAUACGACGCUCCUGUAGUAUUAAUUUUGCCUCGUUAAACAGUUUUUUUUUACAAUGAGUGGAUUAAAUUCAAUGCCAGAAGCUGCGAUUUUUCGAAAACAAAUCGUUUGGUUUGAU